rnacentral:rRNA from 1 species
UACGUAGGGUGCGAGCGUUAAUCGGAAUUACUGGGCGUAAAGCGUGCGCAGGCGGCUUUGCAAGACAGAGGUGAAAUCCCCGGGCUCAACCUGGGAACUGCCUUUGUGACUGCAAGGCUAGAGUACGGCAGAGGGAGAUGGAAUUCCGCGUGUAGCAGUGAAAUGCGUAGAUAUGCGGAGGAACACCGAUGGCGAAGGCAAUCUCCUGGGCCUGUACUGACGCUGAGGCGCGAAAGCCAGGGGAGCAAACGGG